UGGGAGGCGGUCUAAAGCCUUUGAAAUCGGAAAAGACGGAGCAAGCGGUUGGAGGAAUCUGAUGCAGCUCAGGCGGCCGGCGGGAAGAUGGCGUUUGCCAUCCAGAUGGUGUUACCCUCCUAUGGGGGACCCUAGAGGGUGUCGCAUAACGGAGAAAUCUCACUACACUGCGGGCCCUUAGAGAAGAAACUGAAAAUGCAUGCGCAGCAAUCUCAAUGACCAAGGUUACCCAAGCAGCAGAUCGCUGUACUAAUAAAUGUCUUGGAAGCUUGAUGGCCUCCACUUUGAGCACCUCUUGUAAUUCUAGAGGCCAAAAGUAACUUGUAGUAAUCUCAUGAUGGCUUAAUAAAUUCAGUAUUAAAAUAUU